rnacentral:rRNA from 1 species
GACGAACGCUGGCGGCGUGCUUAACACAUGCAAGUCGAACGGAAAGGCCCUGCUUUCAGGGUCCUCUAGUGGCGAACGGGUGAGUAACACGUGGGUGAUCUGCCCUGCACUUCUGGAUAAGCCUUGGAAACUGGGUCUAAUACCGGAUAUGAGCCAUUUUUAGUGUGAUGGUUGGAAAGUUUUUUCGGUGUAGGAUGAGCUCGCUGCCUAUCAGCUUGUUGGUGGGGUAAUGGCCUACCAAGGCGGCGACGGGUAGCCGGCCUGAGAGGGUGGACGGCCAAAUUGGGAAUGAGAUAAGGCCCAGAAUCCUAAGGGAGGGAGCAGUGGGGAAUAUUGCACAAUGGGCGGAAGCCUGAUGGAGCGACGCCGCGUGGGGGAUGACGGCCUUCGGGUUGUAAAAUCCUUUCGCUAGGGACGAAGCUUUUUGUGACGGUAACUAGAUAAGAAGCACCGGCUAACUACGUG